CAACCUUGUCCCCACUGAAGGACCCCACGAAUCCCCACGCCCCGACGGCUGUGGAGAGUGGGGGGAGACUUUGCCGACAGCAUCCCCCCACCCGUGCUGGCUGCUCUCCCCCACCCCCACCCCGCCAUGUAAACACGAGGACUUUCUCGAGAGCUUUGGAGAGCCGCUCUAGUGGCUUCGGGGCCUGAAACCCCAGGCUUGGCUUGUUUGAUGUUUAGCAUCCCAAAGCGGUUCCCCACCCCCGCCCCAGCCUGGGAAGCUGGAGCCGCGGGCCGGGAAGGAGGCAAGCUGGGGUCCUCCGGGCCAGGAGGCAGGUGGGGGCAGCGAGAGGACUUCAGCUGCACGGGAGAGGGGUUGGCCGGGGCAGCAGCAGCUUAGGGCCCGCGAGUGAAAUCCGAGCCAGGCCGGGGCCGACUGGGCGAGACGCGCUCUGGGUACCGCUCCUGCAGGCGAGGGCGGCCCGGCGCGCUCGGGUCGGGAGCGCCUCCCGGCAGGAGGCAGCCCUUCCGCUCAGCGCUUCAGGUUUGGCCUUUCCGAGGGAAUGAGUUGCCCGGGAACCUCACUGGGGCUCUUGAAUCCUCCUGGGUCAGGGCUGGGGAGCUCUGUUGACCCCGUCUGGGCCUGGCAUCGCAGCCUUGGAUUUGGAGAGCCCGGGGAAGAAUUCUCCGACUUGGAGCGCGCUUGCCGCGUCUGGGCGUCGGCGAGGGGGCUACCUCGAGGCGCGAGCUCACAGAAGGUAGCGCAAGUCUCUUCCCAGGCGAUCGGAGAUAAGAGGAAAUGAGAGCGGGGUUUUCUGACUUCCAACUCAUUAGGGACCAGGAUCCGGCACAGAGACUGACUGAAUGGCUCCAAUUAUCAGGACUUGAAAACCAGAUGUCAGAAUCCAGCUUAUAUGAGGCUGCCCUGAGCAGCUCUUUAGCAACAUCGCACUUGCAUAACAUGGGAUCAUCUUUUCUUCUUCAUUUCUCCUUGACCUUGUACAAAAUAUGAUACAAAAUUAUUUUUCAUAUUUUUUAAGUCUGUGGCCUGGGAAAUCUUGCAGGAAACCUAAGAACUGCGAAGAGUCCCUGCAAACUGUGUCCAGUGUCACACAGUGUUCAAAGAGGAUGAUAUAGAUCUGACCACUGCGUGCAAGAACUUUAUCACCUGAAGAAGACAUUUGGAGGCAGCCGUGCAGGCUGAAGAUUUAACAAGUGCAGACAAGAGCUGUAGAAACUUCCGCCAUGGAUGGACCUCUGGAUGAGAGCUUAAUAAUACGUGGCUGCCCUCAGAAAGGUGUCUGGCCGCCCUGAUACCAGAGGAGAGCCCAUCUAGACCACGGGGACAAACCCAUCUUUGCUUCGUUCCCACCAAAGAUCAAAGUAACAUUGCUAACAACAGCACAUGCUUUGUUUCCAUUCACCACCAUCUCGGAGAUCUUACGCUGGUGUCUUCUGGGCCUCAAAGUCCAGGCCCUGGAACUCUUCCAGAUAUUAUUUUCACGAAAGUGGAACAUCUGUGUUAUGACUUCCAUUGGGUGACUUAUUUUGCACUUGCUUACCUUGUAUCUAGAAACAUUUCUCAUGUUUUUUUUUUUUAUUGUUCAAACGGUCUGCGGCUUAUACCAUUCAUGCUCAAGUUCACUCAUUCAUUUUUUCAUUCACUGACACAUCCACUGAUUCAUUCAUUGACUGAAUCGGAACAGAGACUCUGUCAUAGCCUCCAGUGAUUCCCACUUCCCUGUGUUCACCUCCUAGGCAGGGUGGGCCUGUGACUUGCUUAUAACCCACAGAAUGUGGCAGAAAUGAUAGGCUGCCCUUGUGUGGUUGUAUUAUGUAAUAUAAGACUGGGUCUUGCUGGCAGGCUCCCCAUGGAAAAUCCCUCUCUGGCUUGAGAAAGGAAUGACCAUGAUGGGAGAACCCGCAUGGUGUAGAACUUCAGGAAGCCUGCAUCCUUGGUCUCCGAGCCACAAGGGAAUGAAUCCUGCCAGGGAUCUGAGUGAGCUUGCAAGGGGAUUCUUUGGCAGUUGAGCGGCCACAUGAGAACACAACCCAGGCAACACCUUCAUGGCAGCCUUGCAAGAUCCUGAGUCAAGCCUAGGUUAGGUCAAGCCCUGAGCUGUGAAAACUGACAAAAUCAAUGGUUGUUUAAAGCCACUCAGAAUGUGGCAAUCUAUCAUGCAGAAAUAAAAAACAAACACACUGCUCUAUGCUAACCACAAUAUAUGCAUUAUCUCAGUGCUGGAGAUAAGCUCACAAGCCUGCUGCUAAUAUCAUCCUCAUUUUACAGGUAAAGAAACUGAGGCUCAGGAGUUAAAUUCCAGAAUGUUCUGUCAUCAAUCACUGUACUAUCAUGCAUGUUUUAUUUUAAUGUAUUUUCUUAUUUGAUGGAUUCAAAUUUAUUGUGGUUUAAAAUAAGCCUCCUGAAACAAACAAAAAAAUACAUUUAGAAAAAGUCCUACUUGGUAAACUUUGUACACAAGGUAGAUGUGUUUGUAAAUUCAACAUUAUAAGGAACUUCCUGUAACAUUUUUGCUCUUUUAUUAGAUAUUGUAUAAAGAUAACAUUAGACACAUGAAUAGGGAGGUUUCUUUUUUGUUGUUGAAUGUGGUGGACUCUGAGGUAUUUAUAGGAGAGAACAAUUAUAAUGGUAUAAAUUCCAAAUACUUGGAAAAUUACCUGGAACAUUAAUAAUCGAUUAAACAUUGGUUAGAAUGUACUGGAGCUUGGCUGCUGUCUUUAUGCUGUAGGACUGAAACAUUUCCUUGGUGUCUCAACUUUCCCACUUCUGAUCAAGUUCAGGGAAAAUUAGGAAGUGGAGAGAUUUAGAAAUGUUGUUGACCACUGGAGUCCUGUUUGGCUCAGUGUUCUGAAGAGCUAAGGGAGGUUUGUGACCCUGAACCACGUCUUUGAAUGAGAGUCCUUUCCAUUUGGCAUUUAUCAGAUGUUAAUUAUUCAUACUGCGUGAUUGAGGAUUUGGGAGUCAGAGAUUCACCUGCAAUAUUUGGAAUACCAGUGGAGGUCUACAUCAGCACAGAAUUUAUACAGCAGCUGGCGCUAGUCAAAGCUAAUGAUGGAAUUUCAGUUUAAUAAAAAGACCCCCAACUGAGCACACCUUCUUGAAAAAAGUAUACUUACCCAACAGCUUUCAAUCAGUUCAAGAGAGACAUCUUAAUUGGGAAGAGGAAGAAUUGCAGAGUAGUUUGUCAUCGUGCCAAUUUCAGAUCAAUAACUGCAUGUCUGCUCUUUGGCAGACAUAGGAUUUGCUUUAUAUUAAGUAACCACCUCUACAUCCUCCCCAUUUGGAUAAGGAGAUUUUUGUUUCACUUGACAAUGUUUAAUAAUGUCCUCUUUUAAUUCACCUCUGUGUCUUUAUAAUAAACUCAAGUAAGAGUCAGACACUAUAAAGGUUAAUAUUUUCAUUUUCAAAAAAUAAACCUGUUUAUUCUAACAGGAAAACAAUACUUAUAAUUUUAUUUCCAUACAUUUUUGAAAUAAAAUUACAUAAGCAAAAUUCAAUUAUGGUGGCUUAAUUAUAAGAAUAGAAUAUUGGACAAUGACAGUCUGAAUUAUAUAAAAUGAUUUGUAGAGUAAUCUAGAAACAAUGAGAACGUUUUCCUUUUUGUAAGAAGGUUUUCGAACACUAAAAGGAUGUGACUCAGUCAUCUAAGUCCUAGUUCCCUUAUUUUUACAAGAAGAUAGUCAUUCAAAUUAGUGGUGGGUUAGGGGCGCCGUCGGCAGCCAGGCAGGUGGAGGGGCAGGGAAUGGUGGAGCAGCAGCAGUGUGUGGAGAUGGAGGCACAGCCCUGGCCGAAGCCUCUGCUGUUCCUUUCUCACUUCGACCAGGGGGCAUCCACCCUUCCUCCCUCCCUCUCUCCCUCCCUCCCUUUUAGUCUGUGUCAAUUAUGUAGAUAUAAAUUUAAAUAUAAAAAUACUGAGCUGCUACAGGAGUUUCUUUGUGAAAAACAGGGUUUCACCACAAAAAUACAAUUUGAAAAUCAUUGGACUACACAAUUGUAAGUUCUCCUCCUUCCAUGCUUUGACUGCUAUCAGAAUUUCAUUUCAAAAAAUGGCAAGGGUGAUUGGAAAUCUUCUAGCACCCAUAGCAAAUAUCCGUGCUGCGUGAAUUGUAGUUCUGCUAAGAAGUCAGGCUAUGGGUGAAGCAGCACCUUGCAGAGGCUUCUGAUACAAGGGACUCAGACUAAUGGGUCCGGGUGUUUGGAUUUUUUGGUGUCUUUUAAGAACAACUAUGUGGAACAGAGCCACACUCAUAUAGACACUUAAUGUAGGGUCAGAAUUGUGGCUUCAUUUUGAAAUUUUAAAAUUCAAAGCCUUUUGCAUUUAGAGAUUCAUAUACUGUUAGAGCUGAGAUAAUUUUUAUAUAUUCACUGAUUCAUUAAAUCAGUAAGUUCUUGCUGAAUUUGGGUUUGCACCUAACCACUAUACUUAGGGGGCUGAAGUUACAGUAUUUUUUCUAUUCACAUAAAUAUUAUGCUUUAGGGCAAGAGACAGGCAAUUAGAUAAAUAAUCAUACACAUAGCAUAUAAUUACAAAUUUUUGUAAAUGCUAUUAAGCAACAGACCAGGGUUCUUUGAGACAGUAUGCCCGAGAGUACAAGAGGACGCUGGGCUGCAGAGAGUGAAAAAACUUGCCUCAAGUUGUAUAGCAUACAUUGCAGGGGCUGGCACUAGACUUUUUUGCUUCUACUCAAACUCACCAGUAUGGCUGUGAAAGUUUAGGGUAAUAGCGAGGGCUAACUCAUGGGGCUCAGAAGUCUAUGACUGGAUUUGGUGCUAUGGCAUAGCAGGUAAAGCCACUGCCUGCAGAGCCAGCAUCCCAUAUGGGUGCCGGUUCAAGUCCCGGCUGCUCCACUUCCAAUUCAGCUCUCUGCUAUGGCUUGGGAAAGCAGCAGAGGAUGGUCCAAGUGGGAGACCCAGAAGAAGCUCCUGGCUUCAGGCUUCUGGUUUCAGAUUGGCCCAGACUCCAGCUGUUGCAGCCAUCUGGGGAGUGAACCAGUGGAUGGAAGAUCUCUCUCAGUCUCUGCCACUCCCUCUGUAACUCUGCCUUUCAAAUAAAUACAUCUUAAAAAAAAGAAGUCUAUGAGCCCCUCUCCUGGCUUCACUACUUUGAAAGGUUGAGCAGCCUUGAGAGAUACCCAGAUUUUUGCACUAAGAAAGCAAGCUUUACAUUUUUUGAAAAUUGUCUUCUUUGAUAAGGGGCUUUGUGCUUACAAUGCAGUUGACUAGAGGUUAGAAAUGAUUUGCAGGGAUAAGAAAGCCCACGAUUAAAGAAAAGUAACACCUUAGUGGCUGUAGCAAGCUUACUAUGGAUUAGGAAAAAAACACAGGGUGCAGUCAGGCUCAACAGCUUUCUGAAGUCUGUUUUGCUGAAGUGCUUUUGUUUUUUGGUCCAGCCCAGAAUGCACAAUAAUUUCUAUGACAAACUUUUGCCCAGGUAAGUUUGCCAGGCCUGCCAGUUAGAAGAAAACCCAAGUUAAACCAUCGUUAUUGAAAUUAAUGGGUAACAAACUACAACGAAGCUGUUCUCCCACUUGCAAACUGAGCCAGCUGGCAUAGCUUUCAGCUAUGCCAUUAACAAGGGGUUUGAGGUUAUUUUCUCCUGCAAGAACCGGAGGAGUAGGAGUAGAGUGGGUUUGAUUGAUUGCAGGUCCACAUGCCUAGAAGAGCCAACAAGCACACAGCCACAUGCGUGUGUUCCGUGAACUUGAAUAAGCCUCAUCUGCCCACGUGGGCGUCCUCUGUUUUUGGGAAGCAACUGCCAUCAGUGGAAAGUGCUGAGUCCCCCAUAGGGUCCCGUGGGAAAAAUGUUUGACCUCCCUUAAUCUAAAACCUAAGUCACAAGUCAACUGGCACCCAUUCAGAUUCUGUUUUUUGUUUUAAAUAAUCAGAUUUGCAUUUUUAUUAUAUUUAGGAAUCAUCUCUGCAUAGCCUCUAUCUACAAAUCUUUGCAUUGAUGAAUAAAUACAAUAACAUACAUGUUGCAUUUAAAAAUAUUUUUGUAGUUAUUGUGAAUGACAUUUCUUUCUUUUUAAGAUUUUAUUUAUUUAUUUGAAGAGUAGAGUUAUAGACAGAGACAAGGAGAGACAAAGGUCCUCUAUCCAACUGGCCGCAAUGGCCAGAGCUGCGCUGAUCUGAUCCAAAACCAGGAGCCAGGGUCUCCCACGCAGGUGCAGGGGCCGAAGCACUUGAAGCAUCUUUCACUGCUUUCUCAGGCCACAGCAGAGGGCUGGAUUGGAAAAGGAGCAACUGGGACAUGAACUGGUGCCCAUAUGGGAUGCUGGCACUGCAGGCAGUGGCUUUACCUGCUAUGCCACAGCACCAACCCCACUCAUAGACUUUUGAGCCCAUGACUUAGCCAGGUGGAGGCUUAGCCUACUGUGCCACAGUGCUGGCCUCAUUGGAUAUAUAUAUAUAUAUAUAUAUUUUAAGAUUUAUUUUGUUUAUUUGAAAGGCAGAGUUACAGACAGAGAGAGGGAGAGACAGAUAUGGAGGUCUUCUACCCGCUAGUUCACUCCCCAAAUCGCCAUAAAGGCUGGGGCUGGGCCAGGAUGAAGCCAGGAACCAGGAGCUUCUUCUGGUCUCCCACAUGAGUGCAGGGGCCCAAGCACUUGGGCCAUCUUCCACUGCUUUUCCAGGCCAUAGCAGAGAGCUGGAUUGAAGGUGGAGCAGCCAGACUCAAGCCAGUUCCCAUAUAGGAUGCUGUUGCCGCAGGUGGAGGCUUAACUUUCUAUGCCACAGCACCGGCCCCACGUGUUGGAUUUUUUAAUGCAGAUUAAUUUUUUCUCAUUGUCCCUUUGGUAAGCCUCCUCCCUCCCCAUCUCCUUUCCUGAGACCUCACCUCCACUAUAACCUUAUCAGACCAGCAUAAUCUUUGCAUAUUUUGAAUCCUUCCACAUAAAAUCCUAGAUAAGUAUAUCUAUAUGUUCCCAUGCAUAAUUUUUUUGAGAUAUCCUCAAAGAAAAACAGGAUCAUAUUAUAUACUCUUUCUUCACAUUUUUCAUUUUAAUUGCGAAUGUCUCAGGAGAAUUCCUCCAGUUUUCUGCUUCUGUUAUGGUAUGGAUGUACCAUGACCUACUUUGUUUUCAAUUUCCUGCUACAUUGCACAGUGCUGAUAUAAACUCAUGGACCCAUAUCCCUGUGUACCUGGGCUUUAAUUUUUAUCAGUAGAUUUCCAAAUGUAAGAAAUCUGAGUAGAAGGUGAUGUGGGAAAGCUUAGAUAAUUUUGAGUCCCUGAGCUGGAAGCCACUCCUCCUUCGCUCUGAAUUGCCACGUUCAUCUACCUGUCAAUCAGAGGACCCCUCUCCAGGAAAUACCUCCUCUUACCAGGGGCAUGGGGGGGGGUACCACGUAAACACUUCCGGUUUUCUAAGCUUAUGGUGAAGCUAGGCCCAGUGGAAGCACUCACUCCUCUUCGUUGACUCCAGAUGGUAUGAUAAUUUCUUUCUUUCUUUCUUUCUUUCUUUCUUUCUUUCUUUCUUUCUUU